UACGCAAUCUUUUGAUUUUGAGGCUUACGCCUUAAAAUGCCUUGAGGCUUACGCCUCGCCUCAUAAAUGAAAAACGCCUCAAUACCCGAAUACGCAAUUUUAAACAUUGAUGAACGAGUAUGGGGAUACAAAGAAGAUUCAAACAACCAAGUUAUGCAGUAGAGAAGAGAAUGUUAGGACGGGUGCAUAGUAUAAUAAUUUAGGAUUGUAGUAAGAAAUUAUUUGUUGAAUAUUUGAAAGUCAAAGUUAGAGAAUUUAUUUUAGGAAAAUAUUUUUAGGAAUAAAAGGAGAGAAUCAUUGUGAUAUUCUCUUAUGAUUUUGUUUCCUAAUUAUGGAAUUUAUUUUAAGAAUGUAAUUUUAGGAAUAAAAUGAGAGAUCAAUUGUGAUAUUCUCCUACAAUUCUAUUUCUUAAUUUUUAGGAAAUAUUUAUUUCUCUAUGAUCCUGUUUCCUAAAUUUUAGGAAAUAAUUUAGAUAGUUAUUUCUUUUAUUAGACUUUUUUUAAAUAUGUACGUGGAUGUAGUAACGAUUAUCAACAAGAAUAAUAAUAAAUUAAUAAAUUUUUUAUUAUUCUACCAAAGUCUUUAGCUAUCAUUGGCGCAUCACAUAUUGAAAACAAAUAAUUAACUUACUGUAUGUUGGCAUGUACAAUAAAAGAAAGAAGAUGCAUCAAUGUCGUUGAUAAAUAGAAUUAUGGUAAAAGAAUUAGGAAGAAAUGUGGGUAGACAAAGUGUAACAUGCAAAGUUAUGUGAUAAAUGCACAAAAUAGAGUUGGCACCUAAAGCGCCACUCAACAGAAUUGAAUGGAGAAGGUGGAUUCUUAAAGCCGGCCUAAAUAGUGGGAUAAGGCUGAUGGAGAUGAUAGCUUGCCAUUGCUCUGUAUACAUCACAUUAGUAAGGUUCUUUCUUAGUUUUGUGCUUCAACCCAAUUUGCUAUAACCUUGUUUUAUUUCUUCCCACCUAUAUGUUAGAGUUUACACCAAAAGUGUUAUUCCAUGAAGGACCAAAGAAGUAUCCAGUGUUGUAAUUCUUCGGUUAUAAGAAAGCAUUCAAGUAAAAGCAAUCGAUUAAAUUUUUUUCCAUAACACAAUUAUUUUUUUAAAAAUUUGGGUUCUUUUGACUACGACGCAUUUCCUAGGACUCUGUUAUCCACUUCGACAAUUUGGCCAUGUGCCAUGUAGGCAAUUUAAGAAAAUCUUGAUAUUGUUCUUGACUCAACUGCCACGGAAUUGUUUGUUAUAGUUCUGUCAAUCAAUUUCAUCAUCUUGUUCACCUGGUGCCUUUUUCAUAUAAAUCAAUGCUUCUUGUAUGAUCAUGCUAACACAAAGACAAUUUGAUCUAUAAGGCAGAAAUAUGACCCUGUCAAUUAGUGACACUAAAUGCGCUUCAUAUCAACAUACGAUUUCAGUAACAUUUCUGUUAUACAUAAUUUAUACUUUUGGUAUAUCCUUAACAUUAGUGAAUAAAAAUCUUUCUAGUAGCAUUUUUAUAUUACAUACAUUAUAACUGUUGCAUAUCUUAAAUGUUUGUGAACUAAAAAAGGAUAUAUUAUUCUAGCAGAGUUGGACAAAUUACUGGAAGAUGCACCUUUGUCCUUCGUAAUGCAAAAUGCUGCCAAGAUUACAUCUGUUCGUAGGAGAGUUUCUGCUCUAAAUUUGGUGUUGAAAUCAAUACAGAGGCGUCUGGAUAACAUUGAUCGAAUUCUAUCUACUAGUUUACCUGAAGAGAAACGUCCUCCAGAUAUUGUCAAGGCUUCAUAAUUGGCUUUAUUAUUCAGGUACUAUUUUCUUCAGUGCUUCUAUGAUAACUGACAAAUGCUUUCUGAUACUUGAUUUUCGUAGACUACAGAGGCCUUGCAUGUACAUCAUCUUUAGGUCUACUUUGGUGCAAGCAUACAAAUAUAAUUGCAUAAAGAAACCACAAAAGUGCACUUGACAGUUGCAUGUAGUUGUUGAACUUUAGAUUAUAAAAAAAAUUUCUACUGAUUUGGUAGAUUCUAGAAACUCUAAUGUUUUGAUUUAGAACCACCCAGUUAUCUGUAAGAGUGCAUGAGAGCAUGUGAAAUGAUUGAGCAUUCUUUCAUGUUACAUAACUUGCACAUUCUUUAAAUCAGCAGUGCUUCUCACAAUGGUUUAUCUCAAA